UCAUUUUUAAAUCCCUGCUUUUUGGUUGGCAAUUGUUCGAAAAUUCUUGUUUUGUCUCCGUCUUUUCAUAAAUUCCGAUAGACAUCGCGAUGAAAAUCGUUAUCUUUCCUUUAAUCAAAAUAGGUCCAAAGAUACUAUGUAGUUUUUCUUUUUACAUUACAUGUACAUUGCAGCCCUGUGAAAUUGACACGUUGUGCUCCUGGGUAUAUAUUAUUCCCAGUCUAUAUGUCUCAUUAUUUUGAGUACAAAUAAACCUUAGUCAUCAAAAAGGCUAUAUCAACCUGUUAUUAGACAAGCAAGUGUAAUGACAUGCGUGCGUGUUUAAAAUCCUGGGAAACAUAUUAAGUUUUAGUGAGCUAAAAUUUACCAAUCAACGUUUUUUGUAAGACCGAUGUACAUGUUUAUUGAAUCGUCAUAUUAAUUAUCAAGUAAUUGAAAACAAUCAAUCAAAAAAUAUUUUUUAUGGUAAGGUUACAAAUUAAUUGUCGUCAAUUUUAAUCUAAAAAAAAACUUGGAUUUUAUUUUGUUUAUUGAAUGCUGCAAUUCUGUAGAUGUACGGGGAAAUUUCGGGUUUACGUGCCAAAUGUGGAAACUAAAUACACCGUUAUGAAAGUGAAAUCGCUUUCAAUUGUAAAAAUCUUUACGAAUUUUUAUCUUAAACGUAUAUUUACGUGAAAUUAUAAAACUUUAAUCAAUGCUGAUUCUUUAUUUGAAUGCAUAAAUACAUCAGAAAACUUCGAUAUAUGCAACUAGUGCUUGUCAUUUAACACGAUAUUGUAUCUUUAACAAUCAAUCGAGACUAUCAAAUUAUAUGUCAAUUUAUUUUUUUUUAUUCUGGUUAUUUCCAAUUGUAGAUUGUGACAUGUAUCGUUAUUAGCUAUGAUAAUCAAACUGAAGAAAAAAAUAAGAAUUUUCUAUUCCAGUUUUAAUGGGUACCAGACAGCAGUUUCAUUUUUUUGUUCAAUAUAAUUGUUCUAUUUUCGAUGGUGUCGUUGUUUUGGUGGGGGUUUUUUGUUGUUAGUUGUGAAAGUAUUUGUCUUUCAGCCAUCACUCUAUACAGUACAACAGUUAAAAAAUGGUCAUGUCUCAAAAGGAAACAAAAAUGUCACAUUUGUUGCCACUAACCAGAAUGUUGUCUUUAAAGCACGGGGAAUUUUUCACGGACACCUGUUCUUGCACUAAUGGAAUC
rnacentral:misc_RNA from 1 species